UUAAGCGACUAAGCGUACACGGUGGAUGCCCUGGCAGUCAGAGGCGAUGAAGGACGUGCUAAUCUGCGAUAAGCGUCGGUAAGGUGAUAUGAACCGUUAUAACCGGCGAUUUCCGAAUGGGGAAACCCAGUGUGAUUCGUCACACUAUCAUUAACUGAAUCCAUAGGUUAAUGAGGCGAACCGGGGGAACUGAAACAUCUAAGUACCCCGAGGAAAAGAAAUCAACCGAGAUUCCCCCAGUAGCGGCGAGCGAACGGGGAGGAGCCCAGAGCCUGAAUCAGUGUGUGUGUUAGUGGAAGCGUCUGGAAAGGCGCGCGAUACAGGGUGACAGCCCCGUACACAAAAAUGCACAUGCUGUGAGCUCGAUGAGUAGGGCGGGACACGUGGUAUCCUGUCUGAAUAUGGGGGGACCAUCCUCCAAGGCUAAAUACUCCUGACUGACCGAUAGUGAACCAGUACCGUGAGGGAAAGGCGAAAAGAACCCCGGCGAGGGGAGUGAAAAAGAACCUGAAACCGUGUACGUACAAGCAGUGGGAGCACGCUUAGGCGUGUGACUGCGUACCUUUUGUAUAAUGGGUCAGCGACUUAUAUUCUGUAGCAAGGUUAACCGAAUAGGGGAGCCGAAGGGAAACCGAGUCUUAACUGGGCGUUAAGUUGCAGGGUAUAGACCCGAAACCCGGUGAUCUAGCCAUGGGCAGGUUGAAGGUUGGGUAACACUAACUGGAGGACCGAACCGACUAAUGUUGAAAAAUUAGCGGAUGACUUGUGGCUGGGGGUGAAAGGCCAAUCAAACCGGGAGAUAGCUGGUUCUCCCCGAAAGCUAUUUAGGUAGCGCCUCGUGAAUUCAUCUCCGGGGGUAGAGCACUGUUUCGGCAAGGGGGUCAUCCCGACUUACCAACCCGAUGCAAACUGCGAAUACCGGAGAAUGUUAUCACGGGAGACACACGGCGGGUGCUAACGUCCGUCGUGAAGAGGGAAACAACCCAGACCGCCAGCUAAGGUCCCAAAGUCAUGGUUAAGUGGGAAACGAUGUGGGAAGGCCCAGACAGCCAGGAUGUUGGCUUAGAAGCAGCCAUCAUUUAAAGAAAGCGUAAUAGCUCACUGGUCGAGUCGGCCUGCGCGGAAGAUGUAACGGGGCUAAACCAUGCACCGAAGCUGCGGCAGCGACGCUUAUGCGUUGUUGGGUAGGGGAGCGUUCUGUAAGCCUGCGAAGGUGUGCUGUGAGGCAUGCUGGAGGUAUCAGAAGUGCGAAUGCUGACAUAAGUAACGAUAAAGCGGGUGAAAAGCCCGCUCGCCGGAAGACCAAGGGUUCCUGUCCAACGUUAAUCGGGGCAGGGUGAGUCGACCCCUAAGGCGAGGCCGAAAGGCGUAGUCGAUGGGAAACAGGUUAAUAUUCCUGUACUUGGUGUUACUGCGAAGGGGGGACGGAGAAGGCUAUGUUGGCCGGGCGACGGUUGUCCCGGUUUAAGCGUGUAGGCUGGUUUUCCAGGCAAAUCCGGAAAAUCAAGGCUGAGGCGUGAUGACGAGGCACUACGGUGCUGAAGCAACAAAUGCCCUGCUUCCAGGAAAAGCCUCUAAGCAUCAGGUAACAUCAAAUCGUACCCCAAACCGACACAGGUGGUCAGGUAGAGAAUACCAAGGCGCUUGAGAGAACUCGGGUGAAGGAACUAGGCAAAAUGGUGCCGUAACUUCGGGAGAAGGCACGCUGAUAUGUAGGUGAAGUCCCUCGCGGAUGGAGCUGAAAUCAGUCGAAGAUACCAGCUGGCUGCAACUGUUUAUUAAAAACACAGCACUGUGCAAACACGAAAGUGGACGUAUACGGUGUGACGCCUGCCCGGUGCCGGAAGGUUAAUUGAUGGGGUUAGCGGUAACGCGAAGCUCUUGAUCGAAGCCCCGGUAAACGGCGGCCGUAACUAUAACGGUCCUAAGGUAGCGAAAUUCCUUGUCGGGUAAGUUCCGACCUGCACGAAUGGCGUAAUGAUGGCCAGGCUGUCUCCACCCGAGACUCAGUGAAAUUGAACUCGCUGUGAAGAUGCAGUGUACCCGCGGCAAGACGGAAAGACCCCGUGAACCUUUACUAUAGCUUGACACUGAACAUUGAGCCUUGAUGUGUAGGAUAGGUGGGAGGCUUUGAAGUGUGGACGCCAGUCUGCAUGGAGCCGACCUUGAAAUACCACCCUUUAAUGUUUGAUGUUCUAACGUUGGCCCCUUAUCCGGGUUGCGGACAGUGUCUGGUGGGUAGUUUGACUGGGGCGGUCUCCUCCUAAAGAGUAACGGAGGAGCACGAAGGUUGGCUAAUCCUGGUCGGACAUCAGGAGGUUAGUGCAAUGGCAUAAGCCAGCUUGACUGCGAGCGUGACGGCGCGAGCAGGUGCGAAAGCAGGUCAUAGUGAUCCGGUGGUUCUGAAUGGAAGGGCCAUCGCUCAACGGAUAAAAGGUACUCCGGGGAUAACAGGCUGAUACCGCCCAAGAGUUCAUAUCGACGGCGGUGUUUGGCACCUCGAUGUCGGCUCAUCACAUCCUGGGGCUGAAGUAGGUCCCAAGGGUAUGGCUGUUCGCCAUUUAAAGUGGUACGCGAGCUGGGUUUAGAACGUCGUGAGACAGUUCGGUCCCUAUCUGCCGUGGGCGCUGGAGAACUGAGGGGGGCUGCUCCUAGUACGAGAGGACCGGAGUGGACGCAUCACUGGUGUUCGGGUUGUCAUGCCAAUGGCACUGCCCGGUAGCUAAAUGCGGAAGAGAUAAGUGCUGAAAGCAUCUAAGCACGAAACUUGCCCCGAGAUGAGUUCUCCCUGACUCCCUGAGAGUCCUGAAGGAACGUUGAAGACGACGACGUUGAUAGGCCGGGUGUGUAAGCGCAGCGAUGCGUUGAGCUAACCGGUACUAAUGAACCGUGAGGCUUAACCUU
rnacentral:rRNA from 1 species